rnacentral:rRNA from 1 species
CGUUGUUCGGAAUUACUGGGCGUAAAGGGCGCGCAGGCGGCCUUAGAAGUCAGAUGUGAAAGCCCCGGGCUCAACCUGGGAAUGGCAUUUGAUACUCUGAGGCUGGAGUACGGGAGAGGAGAGUGGAAUUCCCAGUGUAGAGGUGAAAUUCGUAGAUAUUGGGAAGAACACCGGUGGCGAAGGCGGCUCUCUGGACCGUAACUGACGCUGAGGCGCGAAAGCGUGGGGAGCAAACAGG